AACGAACGCUGGCGGCAGGCUUAACACAUGCAAGUCGAGCGCCCCGCAAGGGGAGCGGCAGACGGGUGAGUAACGCGUGGGAAUCUACCAUCUCUACGGAAUAACGCAUGGAAACGUGUGCUAAUACCGUAUACGUCCUUCGGGAGAAAGAUUUAUCGGAGAUGGAUGAGCCCGCGUUGGAUUAACUAGUUGGUGGGGUAAAGGCCUACCAAGGCGACGAUCCAUAGCUGGUCUGGGAGGAUGAUCAGCCACACUGGGACUGAGACACGGCCCAGACUCCUACGGGAGGCAGCAGUGGGGAAUAUUGGACAAUGGGCGCAAGCUUGAUCCAGCCAUGCCGCGUGAGUGAUGAAGGCCCUAGGGUUGUAAAGCUCUUUCACCGGUGAAGAUAAUGACGGUAACCGGAGAAGAAGCCCCGGCUAACUUCGUGCCAGCCGCCGCAGUAACAC
rnacentral:rRNA from 1 species